AAGUAUUCUUCGGUGCAGCCAGCGCUUCCACAGCGCGGCAGCCCAAACCUUACACACUGUGAUUAGUUUUUUCUACUAUUUACUUUGGCUGCGCAAGUGGCCAAAGGUCUUAAACACAAAGAUUUAUAUCUUUUUUUACAAAAUUUAGUCAAUGAAGUUUUAAUACUAUAAUCUUCA
rnacentral:rRNA from 1 species